CUCACAUUCCCUUAUCCAUUUCUUCAUAUCCAUCUUCCUCUCUUCUCUUCGAUUCCAGCGGCAGCAAUUAUAGAGGAGCACUUGUGUCGGUAGAGGAAGCAACCAUGGAAGAUGGCGGCACCAAGGCUAAUGAUCACGGCUCACAGGGGAGAGAUGGGAUUGAGUGUGGAGGUGUAUAAUUUGGGAGGAUCUUCCCAUUAAGCCACCUGAAGAAGUUAAAGGGGAAGGCGGAUUUGGUUUCCUUUUAAGUGAAUGUAUCAUGCUCCUUUUUAGUAUCCAAUAUUGUUUAUUUAAAACAUUAUAUU